UACGUAGGGUGCGAGCGUUGUCCGGAAUUAUUGGGCGUAAAGAGCUCGUAGGCGGUCUGUUACGUCCGCUGUGAAAACCCAGGGCUUAACCCUGGGCUUGCAGUGGAUACGGGCAGACUAGAGGCAGGUAGGGGAGAAUGGAAUUCCCGGUGUAGCGGUGAAAUGCGCAGAUAUCGGGAGGAACACCGGUGGCGAAGGCGGUUCUCUGGGCCCUGACCUGACGCUGAGGAGCGAAAGCGUGGGGAGCGAACAGG
rnacentral:rRNA from 1 species